rnacentral:hammerhead_ribozyme from 1 species
AUCCAGCUGAUGAGUCCCGAAUAGGACGAAACACGCGUCCUGAAU